GAUGAACGCUGGCGGCGUGCCUAAUACAUGCAAGUCGAGCGAACAGAUGAGGAGCUUGCUCCUCUGACGUUAGCGGCGGACGGGUGAGUAACACGUGGAUAACCUACCUAUAAGACUGGGAUAACUUCGGGAAACCGGAGCUAAUACCGGAUAAUAUAUUGAACCGCAUGGUUCAAUAGUGAAAGACGGUUUUGCUGUCACUUAUAGAUGGAUCCGCGCCGCAUUAGCUAGUUGGUAAGGUAACGGCUUACCAAGGCAACGAUGCGUAGCCGACCUGAGAGGGUGAUCGGCCACACUGGAACUGAGACACGGUCCUGACUCCUACGGGAGGCAGCAGUAGGGAAUCUUCCGCAAUGGGCGAAAGCCUGACGGAGCAACGCCGCGUGAGUGAUGAAGGUCUUCGGAUCGUAAAACUCUGUUAUUAGGGAAGAACAAAUGUGUAAGUAACUAUGCACGUCUUGACGGUACCUAAUCAGAAAGCCACGGCUAACUACGUG
rnacentral:rRNA from 1 species